GGGAUGAUAACUUCCAGCGCUCUAAUCCUUAAGGCCCUUUUUUUGUCGGAAGUACCAGAUACGUCCUUGGUCGGAAAUGGGUUAAACACUUUCCUGCACAGAUCGCAGGGGAUCUGAUACUAAUCAGACACAACUGUGGAUAACCACAGGUUAAAAUAAAAUUCCACCAGUAAUUUAUAUUGGCAGCAAACAGAGUUAAAACAACCAUGAUAAUGGUCAAACUGUAGAGGAAUUCACUUUGUCCAAGGAAAAACCCAAGCUUUUAGAUAGUGAGCUUAUUUGGGCUGGUCCCUCUUCACCUACCAUUCCAGAAUGUCAAAACAGGUUUUGUAGGAUUGUUUGUGUUAGUUAACUUAUUGUACAGCGUCACAGACUAUGUUGGCACUAUAUACAUAAUUGUAAUUAAAUCUUUGGGAGAAAUAUCUC